CUCAGAGCCAGAAGGAUGGUGGCAUUUUUCCUAGUAACUUAUGAAGUCUGUAGCUUUUCUUCUGAGAUUUUUUUUUUUUUUUUAGGUGGAAAUGCUUGAUCUUAUGCUAUGAACCAUGGCUUUUCUUUUUAAAAACACUAUGAUAAAGGAAGUCUAGUUGCAUUUCUUUUCCAAUAGAUUGGGUUUUACUUUUGCUUAGAAAAUUACAUGCACACCCAUGCACACAAUUUACCAUGGUUAUUUUUUAGUAUAUAUAGUGUACUAUUAUUAGUAUAUAGAGAUACAAAUUGAUUAUAUGGGUGAUUUACAGAGAAAAUAGAAGUAAGGUGAUACAUUAAAGAGGAUGAUGGGGAAGACAGUUUUUAAGGAGAUUGCUCAGGAAGACAGGAGUCUGCUAAACUGCAGAGAGUAGGAAAGAGAAUGUUGUAUCCCACUGGUCAGUGUGGAGGGACAGGAGACCUCUAUUCUGGUCCACGCUUCACCGGUAACUAAAAGGGUGGCCUUGGGGCCAGUCAGUCCUCCUUUGCUUUUUGGAGUUCCCAUCAGCAACCCUAAAGGUUUGGAUUGCUCAGCAUUUUGCUUGGCUGGAUUAUGCUUGACACCCAGUAUUUGGCUCUGGUAUCAUCUCCUUGGAGACCCCUCCCUGGCUCCCCUAACUCUUGUUGACACACGUGCUUGAUGUCCCUCUCUCCUCUUUCCCUGUCACCUUAUCCCUUGGUAGAGGUUUUAUUGUCUUCAUAACUUCCAUCACCGUCUGCGUUUAUGUUGAUUCCUCAUUCAUUUGUGCCUUUCCUAUGUUUCCCCACUGGAACAUAAGCCCCAUGAGACCAGAGACCUUAUCAGUCUUGUUCACCACGCGCAUCCCCAGCCCCUAGCAGUUCCUGGAACAUUUUGGACCCACAAUGAAUAUUCGUUGAGUGAAUGACUAGAUCAGUGGCUUUUAAACUAGAGAUGUCUCACAAGUUUUUCAGGGAUGGAUGUAAGAAAGAGAGACGGAGAUACAUGUGGUGGGCCUCCAAGUUCCCCACCUCCUGUUUAAUUAUGUGUAUGUUAUGUAUAUGUGUUAUAUCUGUGUCGAUAUAUAUCAAGAGGUCUUUUUUGGCUGUAUGUGAGGCGUACAGAAGUUGCCAGGUCAGGAAUCAAACCCACAUCACAGCAGCAACUGGAGCCAUGGCAGUGGCAAUGCCGGAUGCUGAACCUACUGACCCACACGGGAACUCACUAUAUAUCACUAAGUUUCUAAUGACACUAAAAUAUGUAACGUUAUAUAUUAAAAACAUGACUCCAUGUGCUACAACCAUUUGAAACAUACAGGGGCAUGAUGACCUUUUAAGAUUGUUCCCAGAUUGGAAUUUCUGUUGUGGCUUAGCGAAAACAAUCUGACUAGCAUCCAUGAGGAUGCAGGUGCGAUUCGUGGCCCCGCUCAGUGGGUUAAGGAUCUGGCAUUGCCAUGAGCUGUGGUGUAGGUCGCAGAUGCAGCUUGGGUCUGGCGUUGCUGUGACUGUGGUGUAGGCCGGCAGCUACAGCUCCGAUUUGACCCCUAGCUUGGGAACUUCCAUAUGCCUCAGGUAUGGCCCUAAAAAGACAAAAAAAAAAAAGGAGCCCUAGAAAUCAGACUCUCAGGGUAUUAAAAAAAAAAAAAAGAUUGUUUCCAGAUUGCAAUUCUAAAGCCCAAUAUCUCAUGAAUAGAAAAUAUUGGUGCAAGGAGGAGGAUAAUGGCAUAGAAGUUACAUACAUUGAGUGCCUUGCUGUAUGCUGGAUCCUAUGUCAGGCCUUUGGGCCACCUAGGAGAGGCAAAGUUCUUGUUGGAUGAUGUCUAUAUUUUAAUGAGAAAGGGUGCACGGACAGAGAGUCAACAAACAAAUGAAAGAAUGAGAUCAAUUUAACUAGUGAUACAAUAAUGUACAGUUCUUUGUUCCUUAAGGUGGCUGAUUGGAGAAUGAUUUGGGUUCAUUAAAAUGAAGUAAACACUCUGAGAAGUGACACAUGAUAACCCUAAACAAACGGUUACCUUCAGAGCUAGAAGAUGGUCUCCUUUGCCAGUGCUGCUCUGAGCCUGGACGGCUGCCUGCACAGUGGUCCAGGCUGUGUGCUGCUUUGGUUAGUCUGUGCAAGAUGCUGGUUCUGAUGCUUCUAAGGAGGAGGGUGGCCAUGUCAGCAUCUUCUGUUCCUUGAAGCUAUUGUGAUCAUUUUGUUAGAAGUCAUUGAGGCUUGAGAAUGAAAGAGGAAUGGCUGAAAGGCUUCUUUUGAGGAAAAGAAGAAUAUCAUCUCUCUUUAGCCAUAGAAACAGGAAAGAAAGGGUCAGGAGAUGAGCACCUGGGCCAGAAGGAAGUGGAGGCAUAGCAGGCUCUCUCAGGAGGCAGGCAGAAGUGGUAACUGGUUUGCAAUAGUCAUCAUAUCAUCAUCCUACAGGUAUACAACCAUUAUUGUCCACACAGAAACCCCGUGUUGUAAAUAAGGUGAGUGUAGCUUUUUUAUACUAUACAGAGCAGCUGAGAAAUACUACUAAUGUCUUUAUUUUUGAAUGGCAAAUUUUCAGUUUAUCGAAUGUGUACACACAAGUUAACUCUGUUUAUUCUCUGGGGUAUUAUUAUACUCAUUUUAGAGACUGGUAAGAGGCUUGAAUUGGCCUAUGCUAACUCUGCUAGUGUGUUGAGCCACUGUCCUGACCUCUGGGUUCUGCAAGGCACACAGCUGACAGAGUGGAGUAGCUGGGCCCCAAAUGCACCACCGAAUUUGCAUCUAAGAUGAGGACAUAGAGUGUCUUGAGCUCCCUGAAGCACACCCACACAUAUUUUGAAGCAAUGACUCUCCAAGAAAGAAUGGAAAUCAUGAAUGGAAUGAGGAUGUCAGACACCCAGGGCACAUCAAAUCUAGAAAAGGGAGGCUGGAAAAAGACAGUCUUGUGUUUUUGUUUUUUUUUAAUUUUAAAUUUUUAAAAAAUUCAUUAAUUUGUAAGAAUACAAGGCAAAGUGAGAAAACAUUUUGAAUUUAUGAAAGCCUGCACUUUGCUACCUUUAUUUCUUAUGAGUCUAGUGAGUCAACCCGCAGGUCUGGGGAGAGAGGGCUCCAAGGUUGUUAUGAAAAGAAACUUGAUCCUGAAUCAAAGAAGCAGAUUCAUCUCUGAAACCAAGAUUGGUCUAAGUUUUUCUCCUUGCUGUUGCUUAUUUUGGAAUCAGAUCUUAGAUGGAGCUUAAGGGAGAGACCUGCUACUCUGCUGAAAAGUGAUUUUGAAUGCAUUCAGAUCCAGAUUGAAUGUAUUUUUUUAUGCUGAUGGUGGGUGUUUUCUCAUUACCUGGAAAAAAAUAUAGGGCUUCAUAGUUGUUAAGAUUUUUACUUCAAGGUGGAGAAGUGCCUUAUUUAUCUUUGUAUUUCCAUUGUCAUAACAGUGUCAGACAUCACAUAAGCAAGUAUUUGGUAAAUGUUGAACUAAACUGUGGGGAGCAUGCAUUUUUAAAGGACCUCAACCCUUUAUAUUUCUAUGGCUAAAUGUUCUCUGCACCAGCUGUGAAACACUGAUCUUUGAGGUAUUCCUUUGGUCCAAUAUUUUUUAAUCAGAUUGAUUAAAUGUUUAACAUGUCAGGUACUCUUCUAAGUGUUUUUGGAGUAUCAACCCAAGUUUCCUCGUAAUCACAUUAUCAAGUGGGUUGGUAUGAUCUUAUUUCCAUUUGACAGAUGAGGAAGUUGAGGUGUGAGAUCUGCCAGGUCACUCAGUCAGAUAUGGUGGAGUUGGGUUUGAGCAGAGUGGAUGAUGCCACUGUCUGUGUGUCUAGUCAUGGUUUCUGACUACCUCUAGAAGGAAAUUACACAUGCGAUCUCAGACUGCAGCUCACACAUGAGCCAAGCCUGAGUUUGAAAGCCAUGUGCAGCAAGACAUCUGAAAGUUAAUAACAAUUAAGACCAACUCAUCCUCCAAAGUGCAGAGAGAAUUCAGAAUGAAUGCCUACAGGUCACAGAUUACUCUUUGAAACAGCUGCCAUUCCCAUAUUUUUUAAGAGUUAGAAAGUGCUUGAACAUGUAGGAUCUGUGAGUGACAAAUAUGUUUCAACUUGCAUCCCAGGGAAGGUUGGAAGUUGUCACCUGGUGGGCUGUAUUGAGGAUUCUAAGGAAAUAUCUAAGCUCUGUGGGAAAGCAGGCCAUGGUAGUUCAUUAUUGAUAUCUACGGUGGGCAGAGAGAAGGCAACAAAGCUGAUAAGUCAUUGGAGUGGCUUCUUCAAGAUUCAGGAAUCCAUACCUGGAGAUUCUUGGUGAAAUGUUCACUUUACAUGUAAGAAUGUAUCAAGGGGCNAACCUGGCAGAUCUUGAAUAUAGAUUCUUGGUGAAAUGUUAACUUUACAUGUAAGAAUGUAUCAAGGGGCAGAUUAUACUGUGAGUAGGCCUUGGAUCCAUUUAAAGAAUAAACUUAGUUUUACCAAAGUUCA
rnacentral:lncRNA from 1 species